GAUGAACGCUGGCGGCGUGCCUAAUACAUGCAAGUCGAGCGAAGCGGGGACGGGUGAGUAACACGUCGAUAACCUCCUAUAAGACUGGGAUAACCUCGGGAAACCGGAGCUAAAACGGCUAAUUAUAGAUGGAUCCGCGCUGCAUUAGCUAGUUGGUAAGGUAACGGCUUACCAAGGCAACGAUGCAUAGCCGACCUGAGAGGGUGAUCGGCCACACUGGAACUGAGACACGGUCCAGACUCCGACGGGAGGCAGCAGUAGGGAAUCUUCCGCAAUGGGCGAAAGCCUGAUGGAGCAACGCCGCGUGAGUGAUGAAGGUCUUCGGAUCGUAAAACUCUUUUAUUAGGGAAGCGUUACCUAAUCAGAAGGCCACGGCUAACUACGUGCCAGCAGCCGCGGUAAUAC
rnacentral:rRNA from 1 species